UAUCAUGCAGUCGAGGGGCAGCGCAGUGUAGCAAUACAUGGGGCGGCGACCGGCAAACGGGUGCGGAACACGUACACAACCUUCCUUUAAGCGGGGAAUAGCCCGGGGAAACCCGGAUUAAUACCCCAUAGUACGUCGAGAGGGCAUCCUCUUGAUUUUAAAGAUUUAUCACUUAAAGAUGGGUGUGCGGCUGAUUAGGUAGUUGGCGGGGUAACGGCCCACCAAGCCUACGAUCAGUAACUGGUGUGAGAGCACGACCAGUCACACGGGCACUGAGACACGGGCCCGACUCCUACGGGAGGCAGCAGUAAGGAAUAUUGGUCAAUGGACGAAAGUCUGAACCAGCCAUGCCGCGUGGAGGAUGAAGGUCCUCUGGAUUGUAAACUUCUUUUAUAUGGGACGAAAAAGGGUCUUUCUAGACCAACUGACGGUACCAUGUGAAUAAGCACCGGCUAACUCCGUGCCAGCAGCCGCGGUAAUACGGAGGGUGCAAGCGUUAUCCGGAUUCACUGGGUUUAAAGGGUGCGUAGGUGGGUUGGUAAGUCAGUGGUGAAAUCCCCGAGCUUAACUUGGGAACUGCCAUUGAUACUAUCAGUCUUGAAUACCGUGGAGGUCAGCGGAAUAUGUCAUGUAGCGGUGAAAUGCUUAGAUAUGACAUAGAACACCAAUUGCGAAGGCAGCUGGCUACACGAAUAUUGACACUGAGGCACGAAAGCGUGGGGAUCAAACAGGAUUAGAUACCCUGGUAGUCCACGCCCUAAACUAUGGAUACUCGACAUACGCGAUACACUGUGUGUGUCUGAGCGAAAGCAUUAAGUAUCCCCACCUGGGAAGUACGAUCGCAAGAUUUGAAACUCAAAGGGAAUUGGCGGGGGGUUCCGCACAAGCGG
rnacentral:rRNA from 1 species